GACGAACGCUGGCGGCGUGCCUAAUACAUGCAAGUCGAACGCUGAAGGAGGAGCUUGCUUCUCUGGAUGAGUUGCGAACGGGUGAGUAACGCGUAGGUAACCUGCCUGGUAGCGGGGGAUAACUAUUGGAAACGAUAGCUAAUACCGCAUAACAGUAGAUAUCGCAUGAUAUCUACUUGAAAGGUGCAAUUGCAUCACUACCAGAUGGACCUGCGUUGUAUUAGCUAGUUGGUGAGGUAACGGCUCACCAAGGCGACGAUACAUAGCCGACCUGAGAGGGUGAUCGGCCACACUGGGACUGAGACACGGCCCAGACUCCUACGGGAGGCAGCAGUAGGGAAUCUUCGGCAAUGGACGGAAGUCUGACCGAGCAACGCCGCGUGAGUGAAGAAGGUUUUCGGAUCGUAAAGCUCUGUUGUAAGAGAAGAACGAGUGUGAGAGUGGAAAGUUCACACUGUGACGGUAUCGUACCAGAAAGGGACGGCUAACUACGU
rnacentral:rRNA from 1 species